UUUCCCACACACUAACACUAUCCUAUACACACUAGGGACAAUUUUUACAUUUACCAAGCCAAUUAACCUACAUACCUGUACGCCUUUGGAGUGUGGGAGGAAACCGAACAUCUCGGAGAAAACCCACGCAGGACAUGGGUAGAACGUACAAACUCCAUACGGAUAGCACCCGUAGUCAGGAUCAAAUCUAGAUCUCCAGCGCUGCAUUCGCUGUAAAGCAGCAAAUCUACCGCUGCGCCACCGUGCUGCAAAACAAGCUGCCAGAGGAGGUGGUUGAGGCAUGGACUAUCCCAACCUUUAUACAAAAGUUAGACAGGCACAUGGAUAGGAUUGGUUUUAAGGGAUGUCGGCUGAACGCGAGCAGGUGGGACUAAUUUAAUUGGGAUAUUUUGGUCAGUGUGGGCAUGAUUAGGCCCAAGGGCCUGUUACCACACUGUAUCACUCUAUGAUUGUGACUGUACGCGUCCUAAUGUUGACUCUCUCAACAAGACAUCAACGGCAUGGAAUGACCCUGAAAACAGGUCGGCGCAAAGCUAUCCAAGUCUACAUGAGGCUGCUGUUGAAUUUGCAGCAGCUCAGACAGUUCUGUGAGCUUCAGAAACACAGUUCGAUUGCUUAAAUACCAUGUCCUUAGAAACAGAAUUAUUCAUGUUUGGUUGUUGGCUGGAAUUGCCAUCUAUCAGCACAGUGAGUUUGGAAAUCAAACUGAAGAUGAACUUCAAAUGUUGCAUGUCUGUUGACAUCAAUUGGUCAGAUUUACUUCAGCAAAAAGGUACUGAGGCAUCGCAAAUCCCACAGCGAUAUCAGGAACUGUGUUUCCUAAUGGUUAUUAAGAUACUGUGUGUAGGAAUAAAACUGCAGAUGCUGUUUUGCACGGAAGAUAGACGGACACAAAUGCCAGAGUAGCUCAGCAGGACAGGCAGCAAUUUUAGUUUAGUUUAGUUUAUUUAGAGUUCACUGCAGAAACAGGCCCUUCAACCCACCGAGCCAGCACCGACCAGCGAUCCCUGCAUAUCAAUAUUAUCAUGCACACGACGGAAAAUUUACAUUUAAAUACCAAGCCAAUUAACCUACAAACCUGUAUGUUUUUGAAGUGUGUGAGGAAACCGAAGACCUCGGAGAAAACCCACGCAGGUCACGGGGAGAACGUACAAACUCCGUACAGACAGCACCCGUAGUCAGAAUCGAACCCAGGUAUCUCGCGCUGUAAAGCAGUAGCUCUACCACUACGCCACCGAGCACUCUGGAGAAAAAGACUGAAGAAAGGUUCUGAGAUGAAACGUCAACCUAUUUAUUUUCUCCAGAGAUGCUGCCUGACCUGCUGAGUUCCUCCAGAAUUUUGUGUAUUUUUUUGUCAUUAAGAUUCUCCGAGAAAUAGUCAGAACAUUGUUCUACUCCAUCCUAAACUGACUUUCAGAUCCACAGUGUAACUGCCCCACAUCAGCAGUUAGUUAAAUUCUGAACCUCACGGUUUUUGGUUCCUACCUGUACUAGUGGCGUUCCUAAGGGCAGAACUAAAUUGCCGACAGUUUCCGGGUGGCACGGUUGUUGGCGCACCUUGGAGGGCAGCAAAUAAAAAGGAAGCAACACAAAGGGGAUAGAUGCACCGCCAAAAUAAGUUAAAUGUUAAAUAAUCAAGAUCAUAAAGAAAGACAGAAGCCAUGACUAAGAAGAAACCAAGAAAUACCUCUUAAGUAGUUGCAAAGCCAAAGGAAGCCGGUGUGUUUUUUUCUGCAAAUCCUUGGAGUCAGCCAAUUGAUCUGUGCUUUUUAAGCAAGAAAAUACUGCAACUGUCAUGUUUGCCCAGCAGGGAGUUCGAGCUGGCAGGAAAUGGAGCAUCAAAAGAAGAACUAGGAGGUCCACACUGAGAACCAUCUCAUGGUGUUCUCUUUCAGAGCAAAGAGGCAUCAAGAGACAGUGAGCAGCAGAACACAACAAGAGACACAACAAGAAAGAACUUAAUAAAUCCCAUCAUUAACAUUUAAAU